ensembl:processed_transcript Lexis1 RIKEN cDNA 4930412L05 gene
AGGCUGACUCCGGAGCUAGAGAGGAGCACAUUCGAGCGAGAAGCUACGUGGGUGCAAACAACACUCCAGUUUCUACCCGGGAGGAGCCAGAUCUAACAACUAGGUUGCAAACCAGAGGAAUCGCACUCGUUGAAGGCGUCUAGGCUGCCUUGCGCCUUGGGGUUACUGCCGGGCAUCACGCGGGCGGGGCGGGCGCUAGGAGGGGCAGGUCCUCGGCCUCAGGAACCAUCAUAAUGGAAACACUCAUAGCCAUCUAGAGAGGUCUGAGGCUCUCAUCCACACCAGCCUCGACGAUAGUAUAAAGGACUCUGUGGUGGUCCUUCUGUUCUGUAGAGUACCCUCUUUCCUGGCAUCCCAAGAAUCUGGGGAGGGUCAAGGAGAAAGUGAUUUUCAAAAAUACCCUUUCCUGCAGGAGUUCAAGCCCCUACCUAACUACCUGUGGUCUCUGAAGUUGGACAAUGCUCCCAAAAGGGUGCAAACAGAAUACCUAUGUUUGACCGGGCUUUGUCUCUAGGAAACUACAUACAAGGUGAUGGAAAUGCUAUGAAGAGAUGGGACCCAUACCUGACACUAUCAAUGAGGCUAAGAACCUGUAACUAGAUUAGUGAAUUUUUCAACUCUCCUUGCAGUAAUGUGAAUUAACACAGAGACCUACAAUUGACUCAGGGAU